AAAGGUUUAAUUUUCGUUAUUGUAAAGGAGCCACACAUUGACAACAGAGUUGAAGACAAAAUAAAAUACAAUUAAAAUAAAUUGAAGAAUGUGUGAAAAUAUUUUUAAAUAUAAUAUUUAAAAUAUAUUUUUCUAUUUAUUUUAAAAUAUAUUUAAAUCUAAUGCAGAUUAUUCUUUAGAACAUUCCUUAGAAUAACCUGAAUAAUUCAGUACCGACGCUAAUACUAUUAACACUAUUCCAACCAGCUGUUGGAAUGAAGCUUAGUCAUCAGUUAGCACUCAGGGAUACUUUAAACAUUUUUGUAAUGUUUUUGACUUACAAGCAUCAAUGAAAGUGCUUCACCCCCUGUUAGAGCAGAUGUAGCUCCACGAGGCUGAAUGUGCUCAGUUACCGUGCCUUGUAUCCAUCUGGCCACCUCUUUCUGAACUGAUCUGCAGGGAAAACGAUGCCCUAAAAUGGCACGGAGGUGAACCCCCAAGCACAAACGGAUAUCUCUGGAAGGGUUCAUGAAGGUGGUGCCCGGCCAAGCCGUGGGGAGCCCCGGCACAGGCCUCUGCCCUGUGGUGGCUGCCUUUGCAGGCCGGGGCCGGGGGGUGGCCCAGAGGCCGCUGCUGAGCGCUGCCACAGCUCCUGUGCAUCAUGGGGCCUGCGGCAAUAAGUUAACUCCACAGGGUAGGGGUGGUUCUGCUUAUUUGGGGUUCCUUUGUUUUUUAGUAGCUUGGUUACAACCUCCUUAAAGCCAGCGUUAAAAUGGCCUCCACCGGUUCAUCUGGGGCAGAUGACAGGUUGCUGACAUUGAAUUUAAAUCCCCUUUCUGGUAGUGAAUAUAUAACUUUCAGUACGAGCUGCUAGCUGUUUCCUCUGUGCGUUGUCAGAGUGCAUCUUUCAUUGGUUUCUUUAGUCAGCUUUCCAACCACUCAUGGAAAGUCACGGGUUGUUUCUGCCCACUGUUUCACAUCCGUGUGCUGUCCUGCACUGGAGGAGACAACUGCAGGGUCACCAUCAUCUUUUCUGGGGAGAACAGAGAAUUGAAAAGGGGGUGCAAUUUUGUAACCCAUACCUCUUGAGUGAAUUUCUAAUGUUAUACAGAUGGUGUAAAAGAAUCAUUCUAUUUUUUAUAAAUACGUGCACCCAGAUCCUAUUUGCUAUUAAAUGUAUUGCACAAAACAUAACUGUAUUCCUAGAAUCGAUACCACAAAAGUGAUUCAAACUAAGAGUAAUUUAAAAAGGAUGAGAAAACUUUGAGUACAGCACACAAGCAAAAUAGAGGCAGGCUCUUUUUACUACUUUUCUGCUUAGUUUUUAGGCCAUUACAGAGAACGGCAAGAUACAAAGAUCACCUUUAAAUCUAUUGUAUACUGUGGAGAUGAUGUCCCAGCUAACUGUGAUGUGGACAGAGAUUAUGACUGAAGUCAGGAAUACACAGAAGAUUAAAUCCUAAACCACAACCCUGUCUUCACAGAAAAAAGUAUUAAGGGAACAAAAUAGAUUGACAUACCUAAACCAAAGCACUUCUAAAUAAGGCAUCUGUCAGAUUUUUUCAUGAGAUGUAGGCAGUUAAAGAUUUGUUGUGACAGGAUUUGAGGUGGUUGCAUUUUAGUUUUGCUCAGCUUUCAGGGUAAAAGUGCUCUAAAGCCUGAAAAUGAAUUUCAGGGACAAGCUGAGCAGUGGCCAGGAAAAUGAUUAAUAUUGCAGUAACUACCAGUUCAGACACGUCAGCUGAUCUUGAAUGUGAGAAAACAUGGGACGGGGUCAUCAUUAAAUUAAGUGAAGCUUACGUGUAUGAAUGAAUUUAAGCUUGGUGUCCAGCUACACACAGGAUUAGCUAUUAGUGCAAUAUCUGAUCUGUACAUGCUGCUGGAUUUAGUGCUUAGCACAGCAGAACCUCAGGCUGCAAGCACAAUUUCUCAUAGGAAAUAUCUGUGGGUUACAAUGCAUCAUUGUUUAGCCUUGAUCAGGAACCAAGAUAAUCCUACCACCAGACAGAGCUCAAGUCUGCUGAGAGAUCCCUGAGAGGAAGCUCGCAGGGCCCACAGGACCAGGCGCUCAUUGCUCACUGGGUUAUUCACCCGAGGACCAGGGCAUAGGACAGAAGAGACCCAACUACACUCUGUACCAGCUGCAACCCCUGGACAGGUAGGACUCAGUGCACUAUAAGCUGCAGGAGAACCAGAUGAUCUUGGAGGUCUUUUCCAACCUUAAUAAUUGUGUGAUUCUAAAAAGAAGCUCGACCAUCUAGGCAGCAGAGAAACAAGACGGAUCACUCCGGUUGAUGUCACCACCAGGAGCCCUAAAGAAGGUUCUCUUUCAGCUGGACCAAGUCCCUGAUCUGCUUGGCUAUGUGCUGGCACAACAGAGAAGGCAGCAACUGAUUUUAAAUCUGUUGAACUAUUUUAGUUUCCACCCAGCAUCUAAACAUUUGCUCCAAUGGCAAAAGAUGCUGAGCAACUUUCAAUGUACUUUAACAAACCAAUUCUUGACUAAGAUUACACCUUGCUGUCCUUUCGGAACAUAUUCUGACAAAAAUUCAAUGGUUAUUUAAGAAAGGACUUUUCAAAGUUUUUUCCAUAUUCGUGUCAUAAAUUAUUAUCAGCAUCUGGAUUCUGACUAUUUUUUAAGCUAGUAGGUAUCUCUAGAGAAGAUUCAUUUUGGGGGUAAAAAAGAAUCUAAUGAGAUGUUAAAAGCAGGGUGAUAACAGAAGUCACAUGACUAAAUUAACAUCUAAUGAGAUGCAAGCAGCAAAGUCCUCAGGCGUCGCUUUGAAAAUGUAAUAUCUUCUUAUCUUUAUGCUCUGAAAUGAAUACUUCAGCAGAAUUACAAGGUGUGAAGGAAAAACAAAGUCUUAUAAUAAAGAAUAUGUGAGGACGAAAAGCAUGUAUAUACAUCUCCAGUUCCACUGAAGUAACUUGACAAAGUUCCUAACUGCACCUUCAGUCUCAUCACAGUAUGGUGCUACACAAAUGAACACAAAGAAUAUGCAAAAAGUGAAGGUUAUGGAUAAACUGGCGGCCUGGGAUUGAACUAGGUAACCCGACAAUAAUGCUUACUUUGUGUUAUAUUUAUGUAUGUUUAUUAUUUCUUUAUGGUUUAAAAUUGGUUACUUUAAUUUCAAAUGCAUGACUGCAGCCAGAAGUUUGUGUGACUCUA